AAGACCAGAGGGAUAUCCCGACAUGAUUUCAAAUAACACAGGAAACAAUGGAUCUAUGUGCACAGUCAGAGUCGGGUCCAGAAGUCUUCCACUGUAUCCAUUGGUUAUUGUGUGUUUAGGACUGCUAAACACUUGUCUGAUGUUAACUGCUGUUGUUAUUGGGAUUUACUGUGGCAAACUCAGUGAGGAAUCUGCACCAGACCAAAUAACAGCACAAGUCCUCAUCAUAGAGGUGAAGCAACUUCAGAUAAUGCUGACUGA